CGGACAAAUGGAUGUCUAUGUGAGACUUUAAAUUUUCGGACAGCAUGUGACCUGAAGCUGGUCUCUAAUUGGUUUCUUAAAGAUUCUCCUCAGGGCGCAAGUCGUUGCGUCCCUGGCCAAUCAGAAUUGGAUACAUGUUAUUUUAUCCAAUCUGAUUGGUUCUCGUCACCUGUCAUUCAACUUUACGCUCUGGGCCACUACUGCGAGUGCGCAGGCGACACCACUUCGACACUUGCUAGGCUGAUCAAAUUUUUUGUGUAAACAAUGGCAGCAGUUCAUCCAAAUUCUGUAAUUUAUUUACAAAAAAACCCUUUCACAAGGCUUUCGCUGGAAGAAAUAAAAAAGAUAAAGGAUCUCGUACCGGACCAACCCGAUUUACAAAUCCAGCAGCAGGCCAGUGACAGAGGACGAAGCUACACACGGAGCUUCACCCGCGCUUGUUAUGAGAAACGGAGGUGGCUGGCUGGAUGUGAUGUUAGCAAUUCUCUUUUUUGUUUUCCCUGUCUUUUAUUUCAAAGUGUCGGCACUGAAGUUUUGUGGACAACGACGGGGAAACUCUCUCCACUCCAUUGGUGAGCAAAGCAGUGGUUCUCGUCCAACAAAGAGGCGCCGGGCGCUCAGUUCGGAAGACCGUGAAAGGAUUGCAGCAGAGGUCUGUGACACAAUCCUGGGACACACUAGGGAGCGUUUCUCCUUCACAGACCACCUUGUCUGUGCCACCUUGUUGCAGGGGGACAGGUUUGAUGAGUACAAGGAUACCUUUCCUGAAGAUGCAUUGAGCAGCACCAUGAAAGCGUACCCGAUGCUCAGUGGAAGCAAGCUGAAGACGGAGCUCAGUCUCAUCUACAGCAAGGAAGAGUUCAGAGCCUGCCGUGGUGCUGUGGACCUAUUCCAGCUGUUUAUGGAGAAUAAUCUCGAAGAAGUCUUUUCCGAAACUGUGACUCUCCUAAAAGUUAUCAUUACCACACCCAUGACCACGGCUGAAGCUGAGAGGUGCUUCUCAACCUUGAAACGAAUAAAAACUUUUCUCAGAAACACCAUGACCCAGGAGAGGCUGAAUGCACUGCAAUUGCUGUCCAUGGAAAAGAGACUUGUUACGGAGAUGACUGACUUUAAUCAGAGAGUAGUUGAGAAAUUUGCUGGCCAGAAAGAAAGAAGAGCAAAAUUUAUGUUCAAGUAGGAAACAUGCUUUUUGGUACUUUGGUCUGAAAUGUAUAUAAAAGAGAAACAUUUAUGUUCAAGUAGGAAACAUGCUUUUUGGUACUUCCUUUGGUCUGAAAUGUAAAUGAAGAUCAUCAAAAUUUAUAUUCAAGUAGUCAAAAUGGUUUUUGGUACUGCUUUAUAUUUAUUUGCCCCCCUCAAUAAAAUAAAAAAAAUGCGCCCCCCCAAAAAUAAAUAUCACCAGCCGCCACUGGAACCCAACAUGACCAGGCUGUGGUCCCUCUCGCCUGGCUCGUUGAGAGGCUCGCCCACCCCACGGGCGUCGUCAUGAAGAAGCUGCUGGGAGGAAGAAUAUCUCACAAUACCAGAAGAGGUGAGGACUACACAGAGUGGGUGAUUAACUGGGUGGGUCUGUGAGUGAGUCAGUGGGUCAGUGGUUGAGGGAGUC